AUAGUUAUCUUAUGAUUUUGUGGAUCAAAGGAGGUCAUUCGCCAAUCUUUAUCCUAUGGCUAAAGAAUUAGAGUUAUCCUAUGGCAGCAGUGGGGGUAACUCUAAUUCCUCAACCAUAGGAUAAAGAUUGGAGAAUGGCCUCCUUUGAUACACAUGAUCAUAUGGAGUUGGCAUA
rnacentral:pre_miRNA from 1 species